rfam:Triticum aestivum genome assembly, contig: Triticum_aestivum_CS42_TGACv1_scaffold_499437_6BL
GAAGUACUCCCUCCGUUCCAAAUUACUUGUCGCACGUAUGGAUGUAUCUAGAGGUAUUUUAGUUCUACAUACAUUCACUUCAGCGUCGAGUAAUUUGGAACGGAGGGAGUAGUUC